CAACAACUGUUAAAAGCGAUGUGAAAAAUGAUAACACUGGCGAUAUUGUAAAUGGCGGCUUGCCGAAUGGUGUCG
rnacentral:tRNA from 1 species